rnacentral:misc_RNA from 1 species
AACGCACAUUGCGCCCUUUGGUAUUCCAUUGGGCAUGCCUGUUCGAGCGUCAUUUCAAACCUCAAGCAUGGCUUGGUGUUGGGCGCCUGUCCCGCCGCUUCGCGCGCGGACUCGCCUCAAAGUCAUUGGCGGCCGGCGUUCUCGACAUUCCGCACGCAGCAGACUGCGCGAUGCGAACUCGGGGAGCCUGGCGUCCAAGAAGCUUUUUCUUCCAAGUUUGACCUCGGAUCAGGUAGGGAUACCCGCUGAACUUAA